CAUCGGGGGCGGGCGAAGCCUGAUCAGCCAUGCCGCGUGAGUGAUGAAGGCCCUCGGGUUGUAAAGCUCUUUCACCGGUGAAGAUAAUGACGGUAACCGGAGAAGAAGCCCCGGCUAACUUCGUGCCAGCAGCCGCGGUAAUAGUA
rnacentral:rRNA from 1 species